rnacentral:rRNA from 1 species
UACGUAGGGGGCAAGCGUUAUCCAGAUUUACUGGGCGUAAAGCGCGUGUAGGCGGCUGGUUAGGCGUGAUGUGAAAUCUUCCGGCUCAACCGGAAAACUGCAUUGCGAACCGGCCUGGCUAGAGUGCAGGAGAGGGAAGCGGAAUUCCAGGUGUAGCGGUGAAAUGCGUAGAUAUCAGGAAGAACACCGAUGGCGAAAGCAGUCUGCUGGGCUUAUCCUAACACUGAGACACGAAAGCGUGGGGAGCGAACGGG